GGCCCAUCAUGUCAAUGAAUCAUAACCAGGCCUCUUUACCUUUCUUUCUUCCUUCUUUCAUCUUAACGAUGCAUUUUGUUGUUUUUUUGUUCAAAUAACUUCUUUAAAUUACUCCUUUGGCAAUUGCUUCCUCCACUUUAUCAAAUUUCUUCUCCCACCCCAUGAAAACCUUUCGAAAAAUGAUUUCCGUACAAGGAGGGAAUCUUUGACUUCCAGAAAAAAAAAAUUAGAAUUAUUUAUUGAGUUCCCGAAAAUAAAUUCAGAAACGAUGGGGUGCAGGAAGUAAUUGCAUACUCAUUUUAUUGGCCAGGCCCAAUGUGUUGUUUAUAACGACUUCCUUUAUCGAGAGUUACUCCCUCCACUACCACCACGUAAUGUUACAUGCACCUCUCCAUUUUUUUUUUGUAAAAGUAAUAUUUAAACAAUUAUAAACAAAUGUCAACAUAUCAACAUCCUUUAAAGAUAAAUCUACGACCUCGACAUCCGUUAAAGCCAGAACAAAGCUGAAGCAGACAGAGGUGGACUGUGAGUUCUUGAAUAAAUGCUGUGAAACGUUGACGGACGAAACAGAAGGUUAAAGAAGGAGUUGCAGGAGCUGAAGGCACUGAAACUUGCUCUACCCUUGUACAUGCCUAUGCCUGCGGCAACACUCACCAUGUGCCCUUCUUGCGAGAGGCUCAGUGGCGUUAGCGAUAACGCUUCCAAUAAAAGCCCUUUCUCCAUGGCUCCCAAGACUCACUUCUACAACCCCUUUGUCAAUCCUUAUGAAAGAGUGAAAGGGUAUAAGGAGAUUUAGGAUCUUAAAAAAAAGUAAAUAAAAUUAAAUGGUAAAAAUUAAAUUAAUGUAAGGUAUUUUUAGAAUAAAAAAAAUAAUGAAAAAAAUGAAAAGAGCAUUUGGGAACGGUGGUGAAGGGAGCAACUCUCUCCUUUGUCUGUAUUGCUGGACUUCUAAAAAAUCAUGAACCUUUAUUAGGUUUAGGCCCGUGAUAAGUUCAUUCCUCGAUGAAGACACAACAGUUUCGCGGGCAGA
rnacentral:sRNA from 1 species